GAAAGCAGAAUGACACAUUGGAUCCAUUUAUAACAGUACAGGUCUUUGUUUUUAUCAAAGUAAUUUCAGUAGAGUGACAGGAGUGUGGGCCUAGUUUCAAUAAGUGGGUGGGGAAAGAGAGAUCCCCAUAGAGUUAGAGAACUUUGCAGCAGCGUGGAGAUUGGGAAGGCACAGAACAACUUACAGAAAACUACAGUGUAGAAAACUACAGCUGCCGUGGUUAUGAUCGGGAAAUGGAAGCUCAUGUGCAAACAAAAGAUGGGAAAUGAGAGUCAAAGACUGUCAUCUAGCAAGCCCUGGACAGCUGGGCUUUGCUGGGCACCAUGCUGUCCUCUGAACCAUGCUGCAUUGUGGUUUCCUGCGCCGUGGAACUAUUCAUGCUGGACUCAGUGAUUCUUUCUGUGUCGAUGUUGAAAUAAAGACAGAAUCCUCUCAGCCCUUCAACCUUCCUCAGAGAAGAUCAGAGCCUUGAGGCCACAGCUAAAUCAAGUGUCACUCAAGAAGACAAUGCUGUUCCCAACUGUUAGAGAUGGACUAUGCUUCACAGCUUUGUGACACCAGCACAAGACAGUCUAUCUUACAAUAGCGAUCAGCUCAAACUUUCACCUUAAAACUAAAAACUCUUAUAGUGGCCUGGAGCCCACUGCAUUAAAUUGAAAAGCAAGAAGAGCCAAGGAUGUUAAUCUCGGCAAUUUUCACAGAUAAAAUGGAUUGACAUGAAGCUGUGCCAAAUGUCUAUUCAAUGUGUGUUACAAAUUAGAAGGGAGCCUAUUGCCAUAAACUCACACUGAGUAGGUUGGAAUAAUGAAGAAAAACAAGGAAAGGAACAUUUGACUAGAAAUAAAUGUUCAAU